GGGGGCAUGGCGGAAUGGUAGACGCUACGGAUUUAAAAUCCGUUGAUCGCAAGAUCGUGAGGGUUCAAGUCCCUCUGCCCCCA
rnacentral:tRNA from 1 species